rnacentral:lncRNA from 1 species
CAAACGGACUCCGUUGCCAUCCAUUUGUUUUCGAUGAUGAAGCCUCCAAAUCGACGAUCGGCACCGUUGAACAUGAUCUAUACCACUUGAAGUGUUUAAAAAUCAAAUUUCGUGCAUUUUCGAUAUUGUUCUCUUACCCAUCGAGUGGACACAAAAAUGAAAGGCUGAAAUUGUAUAUUCUUUCAAAAAUGAUGAUAGAAGUCUUGUAAUCAAGAUCAAGAGUAUAGAUCUUGUUUUAAAUAGUUUAAAGAAUUUUCUAACAAAAAUUCAAUUGAUUUAGAUAUCUUUACGCCGUUAAACGAGAAAACGCUUCAUAUCGACCAUUAAAAUUAUAAAUUUUGAAACUCUUUGAUAAUUAGGCAAAUGAUGUCGAAAUGAUUUGAAAUUUGAUUUCUAAACACUUCAAGUGGUAUAGAUCAUAUUCAAUGGUGCCGAUCGUCGAUUUGGAGGCUCUAUCAUCGAAAACAAAUGGGUGGCAACGGAGCCCGUUUGCUAUCAAUAGUAUUCUAGCUCAACUCUAUAUAUAUAUAGAGAGAGAGAGAGAGAGUAGAACCACUAUGCUAUCAGAGUAUAGAGGAUAUGGUGAUUACGACUUUUUGACCCUUAAAUCAACCCCUUUGAUCAUUUCUAACCUUCAUAUUAAUACUAUUAUCAUAUUGGGACCACUCAACCCUAGAUAUACUACUCAACCCUAGCAAGGAUCGCAAUCAUCCCAACCGCUUAUAUAUACUAGAAAUUAAGAAAGAGAUACCACUUAUAUUUAAAGAAAUGGUUCUUUUCUUGCCACGCCAUAGCUA